rnacentral:rRNA from 1 species
UAGGGAAUCUUCGGCAAUGGGGGGAACCCUGACCGAGCAACGCCGCGUGAGUGAAGAAGGUUUUCGGAUCGUAAAGCUCUGUUGUUAAGGAAGAACGAGUGUGAGAAUGGAAAGUUCAUACUGUGACGGUACUUAACCAGAAAGGGACGGCUAACUACGUGCCAGCAGCCGCGGUAAUACGUAGGUCCCGAGCGUUGUCCGGAUUUAUUGGGCGAAAAGCGAGCGCAGGCGGUCAAUUAAGUCUGAUGUGAAAGCCCCCGGCUCAACCGGGGAGGGUCAUUGGAAACUGGUUGACUUGAGUGCAGAAGAGGAGAGUGGAAUUCCAUGUGUAGCGGUGAAAUGCGUAGAUAUAUGGAGGAACACCAGUGGCGAAGGCGACUCUCUGGUCUGUAACUGACGCUGAGGUUCGAAAGCGUGGGUAGCAAACAGG